rnacentral:rRNA from 1 species
AUUGAACUCUGGCGGCAGGCCUUACACAUGCAAGUCGAACGAGUGGCGGACGGGUGAGUAAUGUCUGGGAAACUGUCUGAUGGAGGGGGAUAACUACUGGAAACGGUAGCUAAUACCUCAUACCAUCAGCUGUGCCCAGAUGGGAUUAGCUUGUUGGUGGGGUAACGGCUCACCAAGGCGACGCUCCCUAGCUGGGCUGCGAGGAUGACCAGCCACACUGGGACUGGGACACGGUCCAGACUCCUCCGGGAGGCAGCAGUGGGGAAUAUUGCACAAUGGGCGCAAGCCUGAUGCAGCCAUGCCGGGUGGAUGAAGAAGGCCUUCGGGUUGGAAAGUAAUUUCAGCGGGGAGGCGUUACCCGCAGAAUAAGCACCUGCGAACUCCGUGUCAGGAGCCGCGGGAAUAC